rnacentral:rRNA from 1 species
GAUGAACGCUGGCGGCGUGCCUAAUACAUGCAAGUCGAGCGAACAGACGAGGAGCUUGCUCCUCUGACGUUAGCGGCGGACGGGUGAGUAACACGUGGAUAACCUACCUAUAAGACUGGGAUAACUUCGGGAAACCGGAGCUAAUACCGGAUAAUAUAUUGAACCGCAUGGUUCAAUAGUGAAAGACGGUUUUGCUGUCACUUAUAGAUGGAUCCGCGCCGCAUUAGCUAGUUGGUAAGGUAACGGCUUACCAAGGCGACGAUGCGUAGCCGACCUGAUAGGGUGAUCGGCCACACUGGAACUGAGACACGGUCCAGACUCCUACGGGAGGCAGCAGUAGGGAAUCUUCCGCGAUGGGCGAAAGCCUGACGGAGCAACGCCGCGUGAGUGAUGAAGGUCUUCGGAUCGUAAAACUCUGUUAUUAGGGAAGAACAAAUGUGUAAGUGACUAUGCACGUCUUGACGGUACCUAAUCAGAAAGCCACGGCUAACUACGUG